rnacentral:rRNA from 1 species
UACGGGGGGAGCAAGCGUUGUUCGGAUUUACUGGGCGUAAAGGGCGCGUAGGCGGUCAGCACAAGUCAGUUGUGAAAUCUCCGAGCUUAACUCGGAACGGUCAACUGAUACUGUGCGACUAGAGUGCGGAAGGGCAACUGGAAUUCUCGGUGUAGCGGUGAAAUGCGUAGAUAUCGAGAGGAACACCUGCGGCGAAGGCGGGUUGCUGGGCCGACACUGACGCUGAGACGCGAAAGCGUGGGGAGCAAACAGG